GACGAACGCUGGCGGCGUGCUUAACACAUGCAAGUCGAACGGAAAGGCCCUGCUUUUGUGGGGUGCUCGAGUGGCGAACGGGUGAGUAACACGUGAGUAACCUGCCCUUGACUUUGGGAUAACUUCAGGAAACUGGGGCUAAUACCGGAUAGGAGCUCCUGCUGCAUGGUGGGGGUUGGAAAGUUUCGGCGGUUGGGGAUGGAUUCGCGGCUUAUCAGCUUGUUGGUGGGGUAGUGGCUUACCAAGGCUUUGACGGGUAGCCGGCCUGAGAGGGUGACCGGCCACAUUGGGACUGAGAUACGGCCCAGACUCCUACGGGAGGCAGCAGUGGGGAAUAUUGCACAAUGGGCGGAAGCCUGAUGCAGCAACGCCGCGUGCGGGAUGACGGCCUUCGGGUUGUAAACCGCUUUCGCCUGUGACGAAGCGUGAGUGACGGUAAUGGGCAAAGAAGCACCGGCUAACUACGUG
rnacentral:rRNA from 1 species